AAUGAACGCUGGCGGCAGGCUUAACACAUGUCAAGGUCGAACGCCCCGCAAGGGGAGUGGCAGACGGGUGAGUAACGCGUGGGAAUCUACCCAGAACUUCGGAACAACUGAGGGAAACUUCAGCUAAUACCGGAUACGCCCUACGGGGGAAAGAUUUAUCGGUUCUGGAUGAGCCCGCGUUGGAUUAGCUAGUUGGUGGGGUAACGGCCUACCAAGGCGACGAUCCAUAGCUGGUCUGAGAGGAUGAUCAGCCACACUGGGACUGAGACACGGCCCAGACUCCUACGGGAGCAGCAGUGGGGAAUAUUGGACAAUGGGCGAAAGCCUGAUCCUGCCAUGCCGCGUGAGUGAUGAAGGCCUUAGGGUUGUAAAGCUCUUUCAGUGGGGAAGAUAAUGACGGUACCCACAGAAGAAGCCCCGGCUAACUUCGUGCCAGCAGCCGCGGUAAUA
rnacentral:rRNA from 1 species